rnacentral:rRNA from 1 species
UUUAAGAAAUUAAUUUAAAGUCUAACCUGCCCACUGAAAAUUUAAAUGGCCGCAGUAUUUUAACUGUGCAAAGGUAGCAUAAUCAUUAGUCUUUUAAUUGAAGGCUGGAAUGAAUGGUUGAAUGAGAUAUUAACUGUUUCAAUAAAAUUUAUAAUAAAAUUUUAUUUUUUAGUGAAAAAGCUAAAAUUUAUUUAAAAGACGAGAAGACCCUAUAAAUCUUUAUAUUUUAUUAAUUUUAAUUAUUUAGAUAAUUUAAAUUAUUAUUAUGAAAAUAUUUUAUUGGGGUGAUAUUAAAAUUUAAUAAACUUUUAAUUUAAAAAUUUACAUAAAUUAAUGAAUUGUUGAUCCAUAAAUUAUGAUUAAAAAAUUAAGUUACUUUAGGGAUAACAGCGUAAUUUUUUUAGAGAGUUCAUAUUGAUAAAAA